AUUUAUGGAAUAGUGGGUUAGAAUCGGAAUAUUCUAUAAUCUUAAUGGGAAAUCAAUACACUAGUGUAUUUGACGUUGCAACGUUAAAGCCUACGGAAUGGGUUGGCCGUGUGGUUAUUGAUUUGCUCGCCUG